AUGGAAGAAAGUGGCUUGGAAGAUAUUAAGUGUCACAGCAAAAAGAAAAAGGUGGUAGGGCUAGAUGGAGGUGCACGUCCUGGUGCUCAAUGGUUGAGGCCCUCUCCCGGGCGUCUGGCGGCCAUCGUCACUAACGAAGUACUGCUGGGCCAGAAGGUGGUGGUCGUACGCUGUGAGGGCAUCAACAUUUCUGGCAACUUCUACAGAAACAAGUUAAAGUACUUAGCUUUCCUCCGCAAGCGGAUAAACACCAACCCUUCGCGAGGACCCUACCGCUUCCGGGCCCCCAGCCGCAUGUUCUGGUGGACUGUGAGAGGCAUGCUGCCCUACAAGACCAAGCGAGGCCAGGCUGCCCUGGAGCGCCUCAAAGUGUUUGACUGCAUCCCACCACCCCACGACAAGAAAAAGCAGAUGGUGGUUCCAGCUGCCCUCAAGGUCAUGCGUCUGAAGUCUACAAGACAGUUUGCCUAUCUGGGGCGCCUGGCUUAUGAGGUUGGCUGGAAGUACCAGGCAGUGACAGCCACCCUGGAGGAGAGGAAGGAGAAAGCCAAGAUCCACUACCAGAAGAAGAAACAGCUGGUGAGGCUACGGAAACAGGCUGAGAAGAAUGUGGAGAAGAAAAGUGACAAAUUCACAGAGAUCUUCAAGACCCAUGGACUCCUGGUCUGAGCCCAGUAAAGACUGUUCAUUCCUCA